UUGCCCUCUCCGGUGACUCCACGAUUCCUCUGCCAUCGCCUUCACCGCCGCCUGCGUUGUGGUGCCAUCGCCUGCGCGCCCCGCCGUCACCUGCGCGUGCCACGCCGAUGCCACCCGUACCACGUCCAUGUUACGUCAUCAUCACCUCCUCUCUUCCUUCCCUCUCCCCCCUCAGGCAAGCCGAGCAGAGCUGCCGCCACCCCCAAAUCCUCCCCUCCCGGCCCUGCACCCAUAGCUGCGCCGCAUCCUACUCCACCUUGGCCCAUCGUUCCCUGCCCGCUUUGACGCCUUCCCCAGUCGGAAUCGGCCCGUGACCGGCCGCCGAUGCUCAAAUCCGGCCCAUCUCCGGCUGCCCCGACCCCGACCGAAGCUGCGGUGAGCUUCCCCGCUGCCCACGCGCUCUCCUCCCCCCACUCUCCCCCAUCCUCACCUGCCCUGCGCCUCUUCACCGUCGGUGAUCUGGUCGGCACUGGCUCACGUCGUACAGGCUGGUGAGUUCGAUCUGUUUUGCAAAUCCCUGUACAAAACCGUAGCCCGUAGUUUCUGGCGAUCCUCUGGCCAUCCGUGCCGCCGCCAUCCGUGCCACUGGCCUGGGCAUAGGAACGGCAGAUGUCUAAUGGUGGUGACACGCUCGAUAAAAAGCUAACAUCAGAUCGUUCUCAGAUACAAAAAGUAUUACUCUUGUGCCUCUACGAAUUCUGACAUACAAUCAGAGGUAAAAUUUUGUUUAUGCUUGUUGAUGUUUGGUCUUGCCUCUACGAAUUUAUCAUGCUUGCUGUUUGCUCUGACACUAAUGAGCAAUUGUCUCCAGAAUUUGUUUACAAAUAUAAUUCAGUUUCUGUUCAGGCGAGACCAUCCAUUAGUACAUGUAUACACAAUAUGUUUAGUACAUUGGCUUCCUUAUUUAACUUUGUGACACUUCAGCUUCCUCAAUUACUCUUACUAAACUUCCAAGUUUAGUAUGCUGUAAUCUACCUUCUACAAUGUAUCAACACCUUUCAGCUACAGUUAGCGACAAGCACACGUAAAAUAUUCGAUAGAACAAAUGAUAUUAACCAAAUAUUCAGCUACAGUUAUACAAUGUCAAAAUAUAAAGGUAACAUAUAAUUGAUUUUAGCUCAUCUGCACAAGUAAAGCAAACCAAAUAAUUGUUGGCAUCAAGCAGCCUAGCAAUAUAUUUGUAGUCUGACAAGUAAUACUUUCCAGCACAAGCUAUAAUGUAUUUAUCAUAUUAUCACAAGAACUGAUGCUUGCUAUCUGCAUUUCAAGUUUGUAACUCAACUGGGUUGGUACUAUUGUCCACGCUACAGGACAGAGGUAGCAUGGCAUUCCAAAUCAUCCCUAUACGUAGAAACAUUUAGUUUUAUGCACCUUGCCCAGUUAUUUAUUGUUUAUUCUAGGAAAACUGAUAAGUCUUAUUGUUUUGAUACACAUCCCUAUAAUCGAAUAGGGUGCCAGCUUUAGACCAAGGAAACUUAAUUAACUUGAAAUAAAUUUGAAUUGUCUUAGGUGACCUGUUGGUUAACUCAUCAAUUGAUUAUACUUUUUUUUUUGCUGUUAUUGUAUUAGGCAAUAUAUCAUUUGUUUCUAUUUUUGUAAUUAAAUUUUAAAUGCAUCUGUGAUGUGGUUUAUAUGACCCUUUUGCAGUAAAUACAGUACAUCGGUCUUCCUGUCAGCAAAGGGAUCAGUUCUGUUGUUGCUAAUCUUUGCAAUUGAGAUAAGUAGUGGUGCAUGGAGAUGCUGCUGCGAGAGUCGAAGAACAGCAAUUGGGAUACACGAAUCAUAACUUCAAUUCAUUAUAUAACAUUAGGGUCAUCUGCAGGCAUUUGGACAAGCAAAAUUAAGCACUAAUGGAAACAUACCAAGCAAUGUCACAUGUGAGUUGCACAAUAAACUUCAGGUGAGCCUCUGAUAUUAUGAGCUUGUUUGCUGCAGAAGGGCCUCUUCCAAAGGUACGUCCUUUGCCUACUUAUGGAUGAUAUGGAAUGUUACUUCCGAUUAUUCUCUUGAAGAUGGCAUUUUUUCCAUGAAGUCAACUGUGUUUUCUUUUUUUAAUUUAGAGUGCUAAGGAAACUCCUAAAUUUCACUUAGAAUGAGGGAUAUGAAGAUGAAAUAACCUACCGCUUUGCUAAGAUUAUUAAACUUUUUAGUCCUUUUCUUUUAAUGUUCAACAAACGGCUACCAGGUCUGGUAAAAUUUAUAUUGUGAGAGAGAUUUUUUAAUUUGCAUCUUCUUCUACUAUUUGGAAAAUUUAUCACCCAUGUCUAAGACCAAAAUGAUGUUCUGACAGAAAUAAUCCGUGUCUUCUACUUUUCAAGCAAUAUAUAGCAUCCAUAUUUAAGAUCAAAAGGAGAUGCUGUGACACAAGUAACAUGUAUCUGUACAAGAAACGGUAAGUUGAACCUGUAGAUUUAGCUAAAGUAGCACAAUUUGAGAAGCUAUUUUCACUUAAAUUGAAAAUUGAAAUAUGUCCAAACUAUAUGUGCAGGAGUCUGCUUGUUAUGGGUACUGACGUUUACCCAACGGUAAGCCAGUCCACUUCAGGGCAGGCAUUUGACGAAGUAAUUGCAGAACUGAUAAAACAACACAUAUUCCCACCCCUUUUAUCUGCUUUGUUCCAAAUUUCGAUCAAAUUGCUUCUUAGUUAUGUACUUAAUCCUUUUGUCUAUUGCACUUUGGAUGCCCCAUUCGAAUUUUCUAAUUAUUGAUGCAGUGCAGGAAAGAAAAGGAACAGGAGGAAAAGGCAGUGAAUCAACUCUGAAGAGCAAAAACUGAGAGCAGUAAAGCUUAUUAUGAUUUGCAAUAUGGCUGAAAUUGAUACCAAUUCAAUUGAAGAGAUAGGUGCCUCAGUGCCUGCUAUCCUAUUUAUGGCAGUUUCUUCUCAUUGCUGCUAUUAUGGAGAAGUUUUACCACUAAAGCACAAUGCAUGCAGGAUGCUUCUCAAUGCGGCUUAAAACUAUGUUCUUCCAUGCUUCAAGUAUUAUGUUGAAAAUUUUUGUCUUCGUAGCAACACAUGGCCAUUAAAUUGAGCAAUUUGUAUUGAGCAUUGCCACAAGCGUACCAUUAGAGUAGGUAGAAUGCAUCAAAGAUGAUGGCAAAAUCUAUUUUGCUGAGGUUCAAUGGUGGCUUCAGACAUUACUCCUUAUUGCACUGGGAGGAACCAGCAGAUGGAGUUCAGAUUUACACAUGGAAGGAUGCUGCAGUUUAUGAGCUCAGUGAUCUUCUAAGUCCUUUCUACAGAUGUUUUUACUUGUGCCAUUUUGAGGAAGAUGAAAUGUUAAUUUAUACCUCAAAGGAAAGUAGGUUCAUAUCUUGGUUGCAUACCACUAGGUGUAACAAUGACAUAUCAAGUCGUAUGUUGCAUUCCUCCCACACUGUAAAUAUAUCAUUUUUGCUUGUUUGAUUUGGAUGAAGUGACUAGAAAGAUUGGAGGAGGUCGGUGAGAUGUUGAUAUGAAUAAAAGUAAAACAAGGUGUCGGACUCCGGGUACA